rnacentral:lncRNA from 1 species
UAAAAGCAGAACUAUAAUAUGAAACUUCCUGUAAGUCUGCAUUUAAGGGAGGAGGCAUGCCAGUAUUUCCUCCUUCCUCGCUCUCUGCUGUUUAGAAUGCAGAUGUAAUGGCUGGAGUUCUGGCAAUUAUAUCAGACCAAGAGAUGGGAGUAAGAUGCUGAGAUGGGAGUCUCAGCAAAGCCAGAAGCCUUGGUCCCCAAAGUCUCUGUGGAGUCACCAUUCCAACUCCGGACUGCCUACUUCUAGGCUUAUUUUGCAUACAUGAGAAACAUAUUCUUCUAUCUUGUCUAAACCACACUUGUUGUUGUUUUCUGUGUUGUGUACAACUGAACUUAAUCCUAAAGCAUGCAUUCAACAAUUAUUUUUAUUAAUUUAUAUAAUUAUAUGAUUAUAUUCACUUUCUGCUUCAUAAUAACUUUUAUCUAGAUUUUAAAAUCGAUUUAGUUUUAAUUAAUAAGUUUCAUUUUUUACAAGUUUUAGGCUCACAAUAAAAUUGAGCAGAAAGUACAGUUUCCACAUAACCAUCCCCCAACACACACCCAGCCCCUUCCACCACCAACAUGUCACAGUAUGUUUUGUUACAACUGAUGAAGUAAUAUUGAUGCCUCAUGUUCAACCAAAGUCCACAGUUUACAUUACAGUUCGCUCUUUGUGACCAAAGCCCACAGUUUACAUAUGGUUCACUGUUUGUGUUGUACAGUCUGUGGGCUUUGACAGAUCUAUCAUGCCAUGUAGCUACCCUUUCAGUGUCAUUCAAUAUAGUUCCAUUGGCUUAAAAAUCCCGUGUUCCAUCUAUUAAUUCCUCCUUCCAUCUUCCCAAAACCCUGGCAAACACUGAUCCUUUACUGUCUGCAUAAUUUUACCUCCCCAGAAUGUCUUAUAGUUGGAAUCAUACAGUCUGUAGCCUUUUCAGAUUGGCUUCUUGCACUUAGUAAUAUGCCUUUAUGCUUCCUCCGUUUCUUUUUUGUGGCUUAAUAGCUCUUUUUCUUUUUUAAGUGCUCAAUACUAUUCCACUGUAUGAAUAUACUACAGUUUAUUUAUCCAUUCACCUAUUGACGGACACCUUGGUGGCUUCUAAGUUUUGGCAAUUAUGAAUAAAGCUGCUAUAAACUUUUGUGCAGAGGUUUCUGGGUGGACCUAAGUUUUCAACUCAUUUGGGAGAAUAUCAAGGAGCAUGAUUGCAGAAUGAUAUGAUAAAAGUGUGUUUAGAUUUGUAAAAAACUGCCAAACUGUUUUCCACAGUGGUCGAACCAUUUUACAUUUUCACCAGCAAUGAAGGAGGGUUCCUGUUGCUCUACCAUUUGGUACUGUCAGCGUUUUGGAUAUUAGCCGUCCUAAUAGCCUUUGCAUGGAUGAUUGUCUGUCCUCUGUUGGGCCCCUUCUGAAGAGUUGGAGUUGGGUUGCUGCUGCUGUGCAGCUGAGGUACAAUCCCUCUCGUUCUUUGGGCAUCAGCCUCUGUUCUCCCUACAUGUGCUGUUUGCAAACUAUAGAAACCAUUUGGGCUGGUUUGAGCAUAAAAGGAAAUUACUGGGAGUUAUUAGGUGCUCGGUGAUUCAUUGGGAGGUCUGGCAAAAAAGAAGCUCAAGGCUAAGCUCAUAGGAACACAGCCCGGCAUCUCACACAGAAGUGGCUUGAUGAGGAUUCUACUGCCUCCACAGCUCCUGCCAUCAUCUUCAUCUGCACCAUAGAUGCUCAGAACCCAGUCUGUGUCUGCAUGUUGCUGACUUCCAAAUGAGAGCUUCAUGAGAGUGUAUUUGGUUGGUAGAACAUAGGUCCCAGACCUUCUCCCUGGGAGCUGGAAGAGAUGCUGGGAAAUUCUGCCCUGGAAAAAUAAAACUCACAAUGUGGGAAACAAAGAAAAUGUACAGCAGGGGUUUAACAGAAUGACAGGUAUCUGCUAAAGAAAAUAUUGAUUUUUUUUAAAAAAAAAAAAGACAAUUUUCCCUUUAGAGCCCCAGAAAGAUUCAGGCCUUAGAGGCACUAAGUACUAUAGAAAAUGAGGCUGAAGCAUGGGGCUGAAACUUGGUUUGGUUGAAGGUCUCUGGAAGGCAGAGCAGUUUAACCUCUAGGUUCCCUCAUCCACCCCCAUACAGCCAGACAAUUAUCCCUCCACCCUUCUGUUCUCCUCCCCUCUUCCCUUAGAAAACUUGAAGUUUAUUCUCUAGAGAAGUUCCAGGCUCAGUGACACCAGGCCAAGGUGCUGGACUGAAAACAAUUAGAUUAAGUUAAAAUCUGCUUGAUAAGUGUACAAGUAAUCUAUUUUCAAAACCUAAGAGAUGUUGUCAGCUAUCUCUAACUAUAUGCCAGCAGUAGGCCUUCUAGGAAACUGUACUAUGAUUCCAGGAAACUCGAUUGUGGGCUGGGGAAGGACAAUAAAGUGGAUUGUAUGAUCAUCUGCUUCUGUUACUGGAAAGGGAUCCUGAUCCAGACCCCAAGAGAGGGUUCUUGGAUCUUGUGCAAGAAAGAAUUCAGGAGUCCAUAAAGUGAAAGCAAGUUUAUCAGAGAAGUAAAGAAACAAAAGGAUGGCUACCCCAUAGACAGAGAGCCCUGAGGGCUGCUGGUUGGACAUUUUUAUGGUUAUUUCUUGAUCAUAUGCUAAACAAGGGGUAGAUUAUUCAUAAGUUUUCUGGGAAAGGGGAGGUUCCCAAAACUGAGGGUUCCUCCCCUUUUUAGACCAUAUAAGGUAACUUGGGUGUUGCCAUGGCAUUUGUAAACUGUCAUGGCACUGCUGAGAGUGUCUAUUAGCCUGCUAAUGCAUUAUAAUUAACGUACAAUGAGCAGUGAGGAUGACCAGAGGUCACUUUCAUCACCAUCUUGGUUUUGGCCGGCUUCUUUAUGGCAUCCUGUUUUAUCACCAGGGUCUUUAUGACCCGUAUCUUGUGAUAUCAAUCCUGCCGACCUCCUAUCUCAUCCUGUGGCUAAGAAUGUCUAACCUCCUGGGAAUGCUGCCCAGCAGGUCUCAUUCUCAUUUUACCGAGCCCCUACUCAAGAUGGAGUCGCUCUGGUUUGAACGCCUCUGACACUUCCACUCUCAAGGAAUGGUGUUUUUAUUCUCUUCUCCCCAGAAUGUACUUCUGGUCUGUCCCGCUGUUCCAUUCCACAGCAUUUUAGGAGGUUCUCAAGAGUGUCCUAAACAAGCAGAGAAGAAUGGUGAGACUUACCCAUUCCUAGUUUAAGAAAUGAGUGAAAUGGGGUCUGAGUUAUAUCACAGGUGAGCUAGACAUCCUCGAAAUAAAGAGCCAGAGUAUCAGGCAAACCUUCUAAUAGCUAAAAUGAGCGUACUUCUAUUCCUAGCUACAGUUUAGACUCCUGUGGUACAGUUGGCUUUCCCAGGCUCCCGGCGUCCAUGCUGUCUCGGCGCUAUCUCGCAGCCUGACGCCACGCGCCAUCUGCUGGCCUUGAGCUGCAUAGCUCUAGAGUAACUUCAGAGGCCACGGGGGAACAAAGAGCACUCGCCUACUUGACUGAGCUCCGACAGGCCGUCCCUCUGCUUCAGGUGUAGGCGUGAACAAGUCCAGACCACUACCUUAACAGGUAUGAGGAAAAUGAAGACUCUCCUAUUUUGGCACGUAUCUCAAAAUUGUCAUCAUUCACUUAAAGUGCAUAACCACAGAGACCUUCCUACUUAUUUUCUCUGGUGUUUUGAAGUUUUGUCAUGGGAAGAAAAUAGCGCUUCUAGAAACAUGAACUAGACUAAUUACUAAUGGAUUCUUUCUCUUACAUUUUGUACAGUGGAAUAAGGGCUAUUAAUUCAUUAAGCAGUUGGCUUGGAACCUUCUCUGACGACUCUUUGCAAAGAGAGAGAGGUCUAGAAGACUUGUGGGAAGGGAGGAAGUGGUGGUACCUGAUAUUUUCCAAUUUUCCGCAGGUCACUGAUGGGAACUUUGACCAGCAUCCUUGUUCCUCCCUCAACUUAUGGUCACCCUAAAAAAGCUAAGGCAUAGAUUUCAAAUUCUGGAGCCAGUUUUUGUAUUUAGGUCUCCAAGUACAGAGAGAAACUGGCAGACAGGGGUGGAGAAGUAUUGAGAACGAAUUCGGACACCCUGAAAGCGGAGUUCUAGAUCCAGUGUUGCCAGCAACGAGCCAAGAGACCUUUCUUCACAAGUUGAUUUACCUUUCCAUGUUUCAGUUUUCUCAUAAUUCCUGCCCUUAUUCCCUUCUCACCACCCCUGAUCCCCUCCCCUUUCCUGAUUGGGUAACAGGACAGGAAGCAGCAGAGCAUUCUAUGAAGCUUCCUCCUCAACGUCCUAGAGUAGCGGGUCUCAGUCUUCACUACACAGUCAAGUCCCAUGGUGCAUUUUUCAAACUUGCAUACCUGGCCCUUCCUGUGCUGAAUUCUGGUCUGCCCAUAAUUUGCUCCCUCCUUUCUCACUGUUUUCCUUUCUCCCUUCCUUGUUUUCUUUCCUAUCCCUUGCUGUCUCUGUUAGAACUUCUUUUUCCUGGUAUCUAGCCAAUCUCUUAACCCUGUUUUACUUUACUGUCCUAAGAUGCUGUCUUCUCAUGCCUACAUGUACUUUCUUUAAAAAAAAAACUGUUUAAAAAACAUUGUGUGGGAGGAGCCAAGAUGGCCAAAUAGGAACAGCUCCAGCCUACAGCUCCCAGCGUGAGCGAUGCAGAAGAUGGGUGAUUUCUGCAUUUCCAUCUGAGGUACCAGGUUCAUCUCACUAGGGAGUGCCAGACAGUGGGCACAGGUCAGUGGGUGCACGCACCAUGCGCGAGCCGAAGCAGGGCGAGGCUUUGCCUCUCUCAGGAAGCCCAAGGGGUCAGGGAGUUCCCUUUCCUAGUCAAAGAAAGUGGUGACAGACGGCACCUGGAAAAUCGGGUCACUCCCGAAUACUGCGCUUUUCCAACGGGCUUAAAAACUGGCGCACCGGGCCGGGCGCGGUGGCUCACGCCUGUAAUCCCAGCACUUUGGGAGGCCGAGGCGGGCGGAUCACGAGGUCAGGAGAUCGAGACCAUCCCG